ACGAAGGAUGCGAGCGUUAUCCGGAUUCACUGGGUUUAAAGGGUGCGUAGGCGGCUUACCAAGUUUCAGGUUAAAAACUGGUGCUUAACAUCAGGGGUGCCUGAAAAACUGGCGAGCUUGAGUUAGUCAGACGUUGCUGGAAUAUGGCAAGUAGAGGUGAAAUUCAUAGAUAUGCCAUAGAACACCGAAAGCGAAGGCAGGCGACGAUGACUGAACUGACGCUGAGGCACGAAAGCGUGGGGAUCAAACAGG
rnacentral:rRNA from 1 species